CCUACGGGUGGCAGCAGUGGGGAAUAUUGCACAAUGGGCGAAAGCCUGAUGCAGCAACGCCGCGUGAAGGAAGAAGGCCUUCGGGUCGUAAACUUCUGUCCUUGGGGAAGAAGAACUGACGGUACCCAAGGAGGAAGCCCCGGCUAACUACGUGCCAGCAGCCGCGGUAAUACGUAGGUGGCAAGCGUUAUCCGGAAUGACUGGGCGUAAAGGGUGCGUAGGUGGUUUAGUAAGUUGGCGGUGUAAUUCCGGGGCUCAACCUCGGCGCUACCGCCAAAACUAUUAGACUAGAGUGCAGGAGGGGUAAGUGGAAGUCCUAGUGUAGCGGUGGAAUGCGUAGAUAUUAGGAGGAACAUCAGGGGCGAAGGCGACUUACUGGACUGUAACUGACACUGAGGCACGAAAGCGUGGGGAGCAAACAGGAUUAGAUACCCUAGUAGUC
rnacentral:rRNA from 1 species